rfam:Nelumbo nucifera unplaced genomic scaffold scaffold00009, whole genome shotgun sequence
GAAUGAAUUGAUGAUGAGAUUGUUUCCCUAUUGGUUUGAUUGCCGAUAUGAUGGCAACACCAGUAUUAGCUCUAGCUGAUCAUUC